rnacentral:rRNA from 1 species
AAGUCGUAACAAGGUUUCCGUAGGUGAACCUGCGGAAGGAUCAUUAAAGAAUCGCCCCGUUUUUUGAAAUGGGUUCUAUUCCCAAACCGUGUAUACAUACCUUUGUUGCUUUGGCAGGCCGCCUUUUAGGCGUCGGCUCCGGCUGACUGCGCCUGCCAGAGGACCCAAACUCUUUUGUUUAGUGAUGUCUGAGUACUAUAUAAUAGUUAAAACUUUCAACAACGGAUCUCUUGGUUCUGGCAUCGAUGAAGAACACAGCGAAAUGCGAUAAGUAAUGUGAAUUGCAGAAUUCAGUGAAUCAUCGAAUCUUUGAACGCACAUUGCGCCCCUUGGUAUUCCGAGGGGCAUGCCUGUUCGAGCGUCAUUAUAACCACUCAAGCCUCGGCUUGGUCUUGGGGUUCGCGGUUUCGCGGCCCUUAAAAUCAGUGGCGGUGCCGUCUGGCUCUAAGCGUAGUAAUUCUCUCGCUAUAGGGUCCAGGUGACCACCUGCCAUAACCCCCCAUUCUUUACGGUUGACCUCGGAUCAGGUAGGGAUACCCGCUGAACUUAA